AAGAGAAAGGUACUGAAAUAUGCUUUGCGUAUUUCAAAAGUGAAUUUUCGUAAGAAAACUCACAAGCUGUAAAUAAUUGCAGCUGGUGUUUGUGUAUACACCAAAAUUUGAGUUCAUUUACUCAAAAAUCUUGCUGCUCUUUCUUUCCCCUUAAUUUUUUAUAUAAACUGGAGAAACGUAAUUGCGUUUUCCGACUAAGUCGGGGAAUUAGCUCAGCUGGCUAGAGCGGCGGCUUUGCAAGCCGUAGGUCAGGGGUUCGAAUCCCCUAUUCUCCAAAAAAAGAGAAAUCUUUUUUGCUGUUUAUACACUCUGAAAGAGUGCAUAAACAAGAGAUCUUUGACAUAACAAGGGAAGGAAGUAAUAACAAUCAUAACGUAAAGAUGUUUUUUAAGACAUUUUUACUUUAGCUUGCUUGUUUUUAAGACAAAAAAGUUUUAGAAGCAAAUAAACGAAGGUUAACUAUUUUGUGCGAAAGUACAAGAUAGUGUGAAGAAAAAUUAAAAGACUGUAUAAGCAGAAAGCAUAAUAU
rnacentral:tRNA from 1 species